rnacentral:lncRNA from 7 species
GCCGAGCCAAGAGAAACCGAGAGCCCCGCCACCGUCCCUUGGCCGAGCGAGUAUAGAGAUAUGGUAGAGCCGCCGCGCUUGAAUCGAGUGUGCCAUCGUCGAGUCGUCGCUGAGAGGUUGAGGUGUUGUGAUGAAGCACGAAUAACGUACGUGAAGGAUUGAUUGAGGGCAAUAGCAGGGAGAGUGCAGGUAAUUCGUCGCCGGGGUACAUCACCGUCGCAAGGCCACCAUCGUCGUGGGCAGCCAUAUCUGAAAGCGAAGUCACGAGGAGUCUGAAGCCGAACUUUGGAGAGACAUCUAAGUAGCAGGUUAUCGCAA